CGACCUACUAAAUAGUUUAGCGAAUCCUUCGGGAUUCGUAUAGACUUCUUAGAGGGACUUUGGAUGAGUAGUCCAAGGAAGUUCGAGGCAAUAACAGGUCUGUGAUGCCCUUAGAUGUUCUGGGCCGCACGCGCGCUACACUGACUGGUUCAUCGAGUUUACAACCUUGACCGAUAGGUCUGGGUAAUCUUUUGAAAGCCAGUCGUGCUGGGGAUAGAUCAUUGCAAUCUUUGAUCUUCAACGAGGAAUUCCUAGUAAACGCGAGUCAUCAACUCGCAUUGAUUACGUCCCUGCCCUUUGUACACACCGCCCGUCGCU
rnacentral:rRNA from 1 species